UUUUUGGAUAGAAAUUUUCUGAAAGUUUAUGUUCAGUUGCACUCCUGCUUUUUUUAUUUAUUUAAAUAAGAAUGUAUUUAAGGCAUUUACAGAAGUGGACCUUUUUCUUGGAGUGUAUCACGUGUUCUUUGUGACGACCAUGUUUCACCUGUAAUGGAGAUUAGCAUGGCAGAGAUUCAACAUUUUGGGUAUCAGAAUCAAAAAGCAACUCGUGGGAUGUAGCAUUGAGUGAGGAGAAGUAGGUUUUAUGCAAAUGGGAGAAUUGAUGGAAGAGGCUUAUUCUGCUGUUGAAUCUUCCUCUUGGAGAUGACAAGUAAUAUGUGUAAGAGUUGACAGAUGAUAGAAGUUCGGGAGGAAUUGUUAAGGAGGUCUAGACAGUGGAGGAAAGAGCCAGGCUGGGAGACUUUGCAACUCUUAUAUGAGGAGGUAUCACACAGUUGAAGGGGGAACGCUAUAUGGCGAAGCGUGCGACCUGGGGUGAUCAUUUAUUGGAGCUAACCGCCUGACAGUAAGCUUAAGCUUUGUGAAAGCCCAUGUCUUGGAAGGUUAAUUGGAUAGUAAUGGACAUUUAUGGAAGUAAGCUUAAGCUUUGUGAAAGCCCAUGUCUUGGAAGGUUAAUUGGAUAGUAAUGGACAUUUAUGGCAUCCGAGCGAAUGCUAAACUUACAUUUGAGCAUCAUCUCUAAUGGCUCUCUUAUCUAAUUUUAUAUAUAGCCUGAAAUGCCAGGUGAAAGGCUUGUUUGCAUACGCAAGGUCAUAGUGCAUUGGUAAGCCCAAUGUUUGCACGAAUUUAAUUUUUAAUGUUCUUCCGAUUUCCACUUUGCAACUGUAAAUUCAUAUAACAAGUUCUUUAUUUUUUGGCAUUCUUUUAUUUGUUUCUAUGUAUUCAAAAUUUCAAAUGUCAAUAAUUUCAAAGUUACCGCAUCAUACCCUCAUGGUUCAAUGGCUUGACUUGCCAUAGUCAUGAGUCAGGCCAAUUCCAUGGCUUGGUGAGUUGAGGAUGCACACCUCAGCAGACUAGCACAGGGACAUUGGCGGUUUUCUCCUGUCAUUACAUGCUUUAUCUAUGUUUACCAUUGUACUUAACUGUUUAUUUAUUUAUCUGUUUGGAUGAGUAUUCAACAAUAAAAAUUAUCAGAAAAGAAUAUCGUCCUCAAAACUUUAAGACUCGUGGCUUUUUGCUGACUGGAUAUGCAUUUGAGUACAUGUAUUGUAUAGACUUAACAUUUUAUAAUUUCUUUUUGAGAAACUCAUUAGCAACACUAUGGCUUAUAACACAGCUUAGAUAUUGAUUUAUGCGUUUUGGGUUGGGUUACUUUGUGAGAAUACUUCUGUUUGGUGGAGGGUCUUCGAUUUUUCAUUGGGCAUCAAUCCUUUUCUAUUUUAUUUCUUAAGCAGCCUUCUUACCCAAACUGCAGGGUUUCUUUCUUUCUUCCUUUUUUUUUUCUUUUUACCCCUUUUUGGUUUUGCAACCUGGAAUUGUACUUGCUUUGUAACACGCAUAUCUUUAGUUUGCUCUGAAUUAGCAUCUUGCAUAUCACUUGCAUUGUUUAAACUUUAAAGAUUCAUCAUAGUUAUUUGGAUGUCAAUUUGUGGCCAGUUUCUACCAAUGUUCUGAAAGACGGCCCAGAAUCGGGACUUGGAAGUGUCCCGAGCCUUGUUCGUCCAUAAAAACUCGGGCGAGUCUGUAGAACAAGUACCAUGAAAACAUAGGAACCUGCUGAACUUGGCCAUUCCUUACGGACUCGGCAUCCUGCAGAGUCUAAGUAAUUUGGCCUAUUUCGAGUUGACUCGACUCAUUUGUAACGCUAGUUUCUGCUUGUUUUCAUUAACGAAUUCAUAUUUUUUUGUG